AAUUCAGACUUUUGUAAGUCGCUUUGGAUAAAAGCGUCAGCUAAAUGACUAAAU
rfam:Danio rerio chromosome 21, GRCz11 reference primary assembly.